ncrna:unclassified sequences RAGATH-14 RNA
AGAAGUUGCCGGGUCUAAGAAGCCUGAUUAAAAUCUCUAGAUAGUAAGAGAGAACCUCAUAAGGGUUCAUUUUCCAUCUCGAACCUAUUCGCAAGUUUAUAGACUAGCUAUCUAUAAAUUUAGUGAACGUUGAUAACGUCCUCAGCAUGGAAAACUGAGAAAUAAUCUCCU